rnacentral:rRNA from 1 species
CCUACGGGAGGCAGCAGUGGGGAAUCUUGCGCAAUGGGCGAAAGCCUGACGCAGCAACGCCGCGUGCGGGAAGAAGGCUUUCGGGCUGUAAACCGCUUUCAGCAGGAACGAAAAUGACGGUACCUGCAGAAGAAGGAGCGGCCAACUAUGUGCCAGCAGCCGCGGUGAUACAUAGGCUUCAAGCGUUGUCCGGAUUUAUUGGGCGUAGAGAGUUCGUAGGCGGUCGAGUAAGUCGGGUGUGAAAAUUCUGGGCUCAACCCAGAGACGCCACCCGAUACUGCUUAACUUGAGUUCGAUAGGGGAGUGGGGAAUUCCUAGUGUAGCGGUGAAAUGCGCAGAUAUUAGGAGGAACACCGGUGGCGAAGGCGCCACUCUGGAUCGAUACUGACGCUGAGGAACGAAAGCAUGGGUAGCAAACAGGAUUAGAUACCCUGGUAGUCCAUGCCGUAAACGGUGGGCACUAGGUGUGGGAUUCUAUUAACGAAUUCCGCGCCGUCGCUAACGCAUUAAGUGCCCCGCCUGGGGAGUACGGUCGCAAGCUAAAACUCAAAGGAUUGACGGCUGNGAGNGCGACGCGACACGAGGAGAG